CACGUAGGGGGCAAGCGUUGUCCGGAUUUAUUGGGCGUAAAGAGCUCGUAGGUGGCUGAGUAAGUCGGAUGUUAAAUCCCCAGGCUCAACCUGGGACACCACCCGAUACUGCUCUGGCUAGAGUCCGGUAGGGGAGCGUGGAAUUCCUGGUGUAGCGGUGAAAUGCGCAGAUAUCAGGAGGAACACCAGCGGCGAAGGCGGCGCUCUGGGACGGUACUGACGCUGAGACGCGAAAGCGUGGGGAGCGAACAGG
rnacentral:rRNA from 1 species